UAUAUAUAUAAAUAUGGAUGAAUAUCAAAAUAUAAGGAAUAACGACGACAAAUAAAGAUUAAAUCAAACAAAAGAAGUAAUUCAAUAAGCAAAUCGUCGAUUGGCUUCGUCGACAUCGAUAGGCUCGACGAUAAGAAAGGACCUAGAAUCUCCGACAAAACUCACUUCCCGAAGACAGAUAAACAGUGCUAUUUUUAGAUUGCCAGAGAGAGAGAGCGGAAAGAUACGAGAGCCGGAAACCGGAGGCGACGGCAACGGCCGGCGAACUUGACAGUGAAGUCAUGGAUGGACUGGGCAUUACUGGACUGACUAGCCAUGAAGUGAUCCGAUCUAACACUCACAAAAAUAUGACUACUUGAAGAACUGGGCUUACAAAGAAUCCAAGAACCAAGAACCCCAG
rnacentral:lncRNA from 1 species